UACGUAGGGGGGCUAGCGUUGUUCGGAAUUACUGGGCGUAAAGCGCGCGUAGGCGGACCUGCAAGUCGGGGGUGAAAGCCCGAGGCUCAACCUCGGAACUGCCUUCGAUACUGCGGGUCUCGAGUCCGGGAGAGGUGAGUGGAAUUCCUAGUGUAGAGGUGAAAUUCGUAGAUAUUAGGAAGAACACCAGUGGCGAAGGCGGCUCACUGGCCCGGUACUGACGCUGAGGCGCGAAAGCGUGGGGAGCGAUCCGG
rnacentral:rRNA from 1 species